AUUGAACGCUGGCGGCAGGCCUAACACAUGCAAGUCGAGCGAGCGGCGGACGGGUGAGUAAUGUAUGGGGACUGACCGAGAGAGGGGGAUAACUACUGGAAACGGUGGCUAAAAACGCACACUAUCGGAUAACCCGUUUGGGAAGAGCUAGUAGGGGGGGUAAAGGAUCACCACGGCUACGAUCUCUAGCUGGUCUGAGAGGAUGAUCAGCCAAAAUGGAACUGAGACACGGCCCAGACUCCUACGGAGGCAGCAGUGGGGAAUAUUGCACAAUGGGCGCAAGCCUGAUGCAGCCAUGCCGCGUGUAUGAAGAAGGCCUUAGGGUUGUAAAGUACUUUCAGCGGGGAGGCGUUACCCGCAGAAGAAGCACCGGCUAACUCCGUGCCAGCCGCCGCGGUAAUAC
rnacentral:rRNA from 1 species